rnacentral:miRNA from 1 species
UCACCGGGUGAAAAUCAGAGC